rnacentral:rRNA from 1 species
GACAGAGGGUGCAAACGUUGCUCGGAAUCACUGGGCGUAAAGGGCGUGUAGGCGGGAAGGAAAGUCGGGCGUGAAAUCCCUGGGCUCAACCCAGGAACUGCACUCGAAACUUCUUUUCUUGAGUGCCGGAGAGGAAAGCGGAAAUUCCUGGUGUAGAGGUGAAAUUCGUAGAUAUCAGGAGGAACACCGGUGGUGUAGACGGCUCUCUGGACCGUAACUGACGCUGAGACACGAAAGCGUGGGUAGCAAACAGG